UCUUGAUAAAUCCGUCUAGUGACUGGUGCUGUCUUAGUGAACAUUUGUGACGUUGAAAUAUCUCUCUAAUUCCAGGCUCUCCUCUUUCUGUCGAAAACCCUACAGUAGGUGUUCACACAUGUGAAGGACAGCCCCGCAAGUGCGCAGGGUGUGGCUCAACGGGUUAAGUGGAUGCCCAAUGUACAUAUGUUGCGUGACAGUUUGGGAAUAAACUGCCAUGUAACAUCCUCCGUGCAGUCCCAGUCUCUCUUCAUGUAGUUUUCAUAUUUUCCGACACAUGAAGAAAGACAUUCGCGGCCGUCGAUUUGCAUCUGACGAAGAAAUGCACACCGGGCUUCAGUCAAGGUUCUGUAUGCAACCACAAACAUUUUUUCAGGAAGUCACUGACUGUCUUGUGUCACUGCGUGAUAAAUGUAAUAACAGUUAGGGCGGUCACUUUUGAAACAGUAAACAGUUACUUACUUUU